UGAAACGAAAAGAAAACCAAACUUAAAAUUUUUCGCAAAAGCCUAAAACGAAAUAAAAGUUUGAAUGAGUAUAGCAAAAAAUAAAAUAAAUACAUAUUAUAAUACAUAUUUAAUUAUGUAUGUACCUACCUUUACAGGAGUUUGAAAGUGUUAACUGUAACUACAAAAAAUUUUAAAUUAAGUAAGCAAAGAAAAACAAAUUUGUCAGAAAACACCAUUAAACUAACUAUUUGAAAUAAUUUACAAAAUAUUGUAAAAAGAAAAAUAAAUACAAAAAACUUCAAUUAACGUCAAGUUUAAAUAAAAAUCUUGAAAAUGAAAAUAAAAUGUAAUUUGCAAACUACUACAAUACAAAUGCAAGCCAGUAACUAUUUAACUAUUAAUUACUAUAUACAUUACUACUAUAUACUACUUAAUAAUAAUAUAUAUAAAUUUAUACAUAUACACACCAACAAUUAACAAUUAAUGAAAUCAGGUAUUAAGAAUCAAAAUUAUUAUACAUUAUAUAUUUUUUAUUUUUUUAUUUUCAUUUGAAGAGAUGUGUUUUGCGGUAGUGCAUAUUACGUAUGUUUAUGUGUACAUAUGUACUUACAAUACGAACAAAUAAUAAUAGUUUUUUGCGAAGUAUUUUUACACUAGAUAACGAUAAAAGUUGUAUUCGUAUUGUAGAUAUCGAUUUCGGUAGCUGAAGAAUAUUGAACUUUUUAAAUUUAUCAUAACGAGACUAAUACAAUACAUACCUAUUUACAUACUCGUAUACACCACGUCCCAGUGGCACUAGUGCUCCGUGCCCAAUUGCCCACUUUUAUGCCUCAACACCUUAGAUAGUUUCGAUACUUUAAAAGUAUGUUAAUCGUAUAUUUAAUAAAACUAUAUUAACUAAUAUAAAACUGCAUUGAAAAUACCUAAUUUAUUUACAUACCUAUAAAUCUUGAAAACUUGUAUUAUUAGAUCGAAAUAUGGGCCUACAUUGUACUAAAUAUUUUGAAAAUCGAAAACAUUAUAAUAUUUCCUAGUAGAAUUUUACAAAACGCAAGAUAAAUAGAAGCAAUCAAUUGCACUUGUAUGUGUAUGUAUUUUUCUAAAAAACUUUCGUUCGUUAAAUUAAUUUGUUUUAAAUAAUUAUUAAUUAUUUCCUUGUAAAAUAAUAAAACUUUAAGUGGCAGGACUAUGAAAUAAAAGUAAACAGAAAUAGUCAUACCUCCCACUUCUUGUUAUUCCUCCGUGGACUUUCUAUUCAUUUUAUGAUAGUAACACAUUUUCUUUUUCGCUUUUAUAUUUCAAGAAAAAUACAUGCCGAAUAUAUUUCAUCCGCAAAUCUUCAUAAAAUUGAGCACACAAAUUUCAUAUGCUUGCAUGGAAGCGAAAAUAACAUUUUCGUUGACAUUUAUUGAACUUAACGAACUUUCCGGCACUCGCUAUUUUUAACGAUUACUUCGCAACUAAUCAUUUUGCCCUGUGGUAAACAUAUGCAGUGUCAUUCAAUAGAAUUUUAAUGAAGUUUUACAAUUAGAUAAAUAAAAUAAAUUGUACCCGCGAUAAGUGGAAUGACGUUGCUCAAGAAAAACAUUCACUUUUUCUGAAUGUGAAACCACGGAAUUUAGCAAUAAAAUAGUGAAAGUUUACCAAAUAGUAUGACGAAAAAAAGUGUUAUUUAAAAAAAAUUCCAAAGCAACCAAGAACAACAAAGUGACAAAAUAAAACAAAAAAAACAGUAGAACGAGUUGAGCAGACGAAAACAUCAGAAAGAUUGAACAAAAUUGAACCCCCAGAAAGUAAACUCAAAUAAGUAGGUAAAGCAAAAUGAUUUCAAAAACCGCCUGCAAAUUGUAAAUUAGAACUAAAAGCUCAAAUCACUUAAAGCAGCGUACAAUCUGUGUGUGGAAAGGGAAACGAAGCCUAAUUUUUACUAAAGAAACUUUACCUUUUUAGCGAACACAAAAAGAAACGAAUGAAAGAGGGGCAGGAAAAGAAAAACGUAAUAGGCGAGCGUUAAACAUAAGAUAUACUUUAUGGAGGAAAAGGAAUAAUGUCUCCCAUAAACAAAAACAAUAUAAAUAUUUAAAAAAUAUUUCAGAAUAUUUUCAAAACUUUCGAAAUUGUAAUGGAAGCGUUAAAGUGUUUUGUUCAAAGACGGUAAAUUAUAAAUCAAUUAUUUGAAAUAUGUACAUAUACCGUAAAUGCACUAACACGCUUAAAAUGCGAAAGCUCAACAUGUAUAUGUACAUAUGGUAUAUAGGUGUGUAUGAAAGCUCUGUGCAAUCGCUAUGAAAGCGUUCAAUAUAGUAUUUGUUUACAAUCUCGAAAGUGAUUUAGCAUUAGACAACGUCCAAAAUAUUUAUGUAGUUAUAUGUAAUACAGCUCUGAAAUUGUGCUAUUCACAUGCAAUAUUAAGCUAUAGGUUUUCCUAUACGACAUUUGAAAGCGCAAUUUCGGUGCAUUAACUGAGGAAUUAACAUUUUACUAACUUAAACUUAAAUGACCUGCGUUGAAAUCACUGCAUUUUUUUCUUUUGAAACGAAUUGAAUAUUUUUGUCAACAAACUUUUUUCAAAAAACUCAAAUGCCCUUUUUUAAUGCCAACAUAUCAAACAAAUUUAAUAAUAGUUUGUAAAAAAAAUAAAAUAGUUAAUAAAAAUAAAUUUGUAAACUCGAAAGAGGUUCAUCAACAAUCCCAAGGAAUGACAUUGGUCAGGGAUGAUUUUGGUGAUGAGGAAUAUUAAAUUGUAAAGAAACUAGUGAUGAAUGUGCGUAGAAUGCUUAACUUUAUAAACUACAUAUAAUUAUUGGAUAUUAUAUACAUGAACUCAUAUAUACAUGCAUACACGUACACAUUUAGAUAUCAAAAGCUUUUCUGACAAAUUUAUCGCCAAUAUGUAGUAAAAUAAAAACAAAAAAACAUAAACAAAAACAAAAAAAAAACAAUAUUGUAAUUAAUAAGUAAAAACAAUUGUUAUGAGCAAAAGCAUUCAAUCCAAAUAAAAAUAAACGAAAUGACAAAACAAAAUGUAAUGUUGAUAAUACAUAUUGUAUUUUCUGUACUUAAGAAGGGUAUAGCACUGUUUCUAAUUUACAAACAAAAAAAAACAAACAAAAUAUAUAUACAUAAAUAUUUUUUUAUUAUAAUAUAACAGAAAAAUAAUGGCUUCAAUGUUUCUUUGGAUUAAAACAGCAAUAAAUACAUGCACAUAAAUUCAUGUAAAAAACAAAAAAAAUUUAAAUUUAUUGUGUAAGCGAAGCCUUUUAAUACUUAUAAAUAAAUUAUAAACAUAUACAUAAAUACCAUGCAAAAACACACACAUACAUACAAGACAUAACAUUCGGCAUGAAUAUUUAAACAAGUUUAUGCGUGUAAGCAUAACACUAAGUAAAGUAGAGACAAAGUUAUGCGGAACAAUAACUUAAUUAACAACAAUUAAUAAUCGGAAAACAUAUACAUACCUACAUAUAUAUACAAGCAUUACAUACAAACAUACAUACAUAUAAACAAACAUAUAUUUAUUGAAUAUACAAGGCAAAUGUAUGUAUACCCACAACUAUUUAAACAAUUUUAUGCAAUUAUAGAAGCAACAACAAAGAGAAAAGAAAUAAUAUACAUUUAUUUAAGUAGCUGGGGUUAUUGUAAUUAAUUUUUAAAUAAAACAAAUAAUUAAAAAAACAACAAAAAAAAAUUAAAAAACAUAAAAAUUAGACAAAAAAAAGAGUUUUAUUGAACAAACAUGUGUUAAUGUUUACACCCGCAAUUAAAAGAGAACCAAAACAAAAAACUAAAACCAAACUUAUAAAUAAAUAGUUGUAAAUGAUUUAUGAAAACUCGUUUGUUUCAUUUUCAAGUGUCAAAACUAUAAGAAACUUAUCUGAAACAAAUGUAAUGCAUAUUUCAACGCCAAAUUGAACAAAGUGAGUUUACUGCGUUUUUGCUGAUUAUUUCUAUUUAAAAACAUAUGAAAAAUGCAUACAAUGCCAAAAAAUCGUAUUAAAAAAAUAACAAAAAAAUAUAAAAAUUAAAACAAAAAGCUAGAAAAAAAUAUCUUUACGAAUUAUUCAUUGAAAAUUAUUGCUGUGUCUUAGUCCAUUGCCCUAACGAAUUUAUUGAAAAAGCAAAAUUUAACAAUUUUACACCCACAAAUAUACACAUACCAGUGUAAUGGAAGGAAUGUGUUAAAUUCGGCACAAGAAAUACUAACUGUAUGUGAAACAAUAGCAACCGAAAUCAAUAAGUGAAAACAACAAAAUGAAUUUGUAGAACAAGCAAUUAUUUAUUAGCAAAAAAUAAAACAAUUUUUUUUUUUACUUUCUACAACAACUUUUAGAAACUAAAUUACGAAUCUUAAAAUUCUCACCAAAAAUAUAUAUCGGCGAAGUAGUGAGCUUAAACUCGUAUAUACUCAAAAAGUGUUAUUUUUACAAGAAAAACUGUGUUUAUUUACAAAAAAAAAUCAAAGAAAAAGCAAUUAAUAUUCUGAAAAAACUAGAAUUUUUAGUUUUAAUUAAAACAAUAACUAUUACAACUACAAGGCUCUUUAUGAAAAGUUUACGCUGUUAAAUUUGAGGUUAAGCACGAAAAAAAACACACAUAAAAACGUGAAGCCUUACAGCAAUUAUAUUUUUCAGCAAUUAAAAUACAUACCAAAUACUUAAAUACCACAUUGGACUUUUUGUAGCUGAACAUAAGGCAGUUUAUUUCAGCUCAAACCUAUAUAUGUACAUACACACAUACUUCCAACAGAUUUUUAGUAUGGUACUGAACUUCCUAAAACACAAGUAUACAAAUAUUUAAUGUUAAACUCUUAUUUUACUAAUAAUUAAAUUAAGAAAAUUAUUAUUAUUAUUUUUUUUAAUAUUAAAAAGGCAUUGUGUUUCAAUGCUGGUGAUUCGUUAAUCAGGUUAUAUAAGGCUACGUUCCCAAAUUCGAUAAAAUUUACAUGCUUAAGUCUUACUAGCCCUUACAUAAACGCGUACUAACGCUUAGCUGCUACACAUUCACUCACACAUAAGAAAAAAUCAAGUUAACCCCAAUCUUUUACACCACUUUAUAAAGCAUAAAAACCAAAAAAAAAUAUUAAAAAAAUAAUAAAAUA
rnacentral:lncRNA from 1 species